GAUGAACGCUGGCGGCGUGCCUAAUACAUGCAAGUCGAGCGAACAGACGAGGAGCUUGCUCCUCUGACGUUAGCGGCGGACGGGUGAGUAACACGUGGAUAACCUACCUAUAAGACUGGGAUAACUUCGGGAAACCGGAGCUAAUACCGGAUAAUAUAUUGAACCGCAUGGUUCAAUAGUGAAAGACGGUUUUGCUGUCACUUAUAGAUGGAUCCGCGCCGCAUUAGCUAGUUGGUAAGGUAACGGCUUACCAAGGCAACGAUGCGUAGCCGACCUGAGAGGGUGAUCGGCCACACUGGAACUGAGACACGGUCCAGACUCCUAAGGGAGGCAGCAGUAGGGAAUCUUCCGCAAUAGGCGAAAGCCUGACGGAGCAACGCCGCGUGAGUGAUGAAGGUCUUCGGAUCGUAAAACUCUGUUAUUAGGGAAGAACAAAUGUGUAAGUAACUAUGCACGUCUUGACGGUACCUAAUCAGAAAGCCACGGCUAACUACGUG
rnacentral:rRNA from 1 species